AACGCGAAGAACCUUACCAAGUCUUGACAUCCCUCUGACAGAUGGGUAAUGCUGUCGUUCCUACGGGACAGAGGAGACAGGUGGUGCAUGGUUGUCGUCAGCCCGUGUCGUGAGAUGUUGGGUUAAGUCCCGCGACGAGCGCAACCCUUAUCUUCAGUAGCCAGCAGGUAAAGCUGGGCACUCUGGAGAGACUGCCAGGGACAACCUGGAGGAAGGCGGGGAUGACGUCAAAUCAUCAUGCCCCUUAUGACUUGGGCUACACACGUGCUACAAUGGCGUAAACAAAGGGAAGCAGCCCUGUGAAGGUGAGCAAAUCCCAAAAAUAACGUCUCAGUUCGGAUUGUAGUCUGCAACUCGACUACAUGAAGCUGGAAUCGCUAGUAAUCGCGAAUCAGAAUGUCGCGGUGAAUACGUUCCCGGGUCUUGUACACACCG
rnacentral:rRNA from 1 species